CUAAGAAUCUUGCGCAAUGGGCGAAAGCCUGACGCAGCAAUUCCGCGUGGGGGACGAAGGCCCUCGGGUCGUAAACCCCUUUUGUGAGGGAAGAAGUUCUGACGGUACCCCACGAAUAAGACACGGCUAACUACGUGCCAGCAGCCGCGGUAAUACGUAGGUGUCGAGCGUUGUCCGGAUUUAUUGGGCGUAAAGAGCCCGCAGGCGGCUUGGUAAGUUCGAGGUGAAAUCUCCCGGCUCAACUGGGAGGGUGCCUCGAAAACUAUCAUGCUUGAGGCAGGGAGAGGGGUGUGGAAUUCCCGGUGUAGUGGUGAAAUGCGUAGAUAUCGGGAGGAACACCAGUGGCGAAGGCGGCAUCCUGGCCCUGUCCUGACGCUCAGGGGCGAAAGCGUGGGGAGCAAACC
rnacentral:rRNA from 1 species